rnacentral:rRNA from 1 species
UACAGAGGUGGCAAGCGUUGUUCGGAAUUACUGGGCGUAAAGGGCGCGUAGGCGGUUCGUUAAGUCCUGUGUGAAAUCCCCCGGCUCAACUGGGGAACUGCACAGGAAACUAGCGGGCUUGAGUUCGGGAGAGGGAAGCGGAAUUCCGGGUGUAGCGGUGAAAUGCGUAGAUAUCUGGAGGAACACCGGUGGCGAAGGCGGCAUCCUGGACCGACAUUGACGCUGAGGCGCGAAAGCCAGGGGAGCAAACGGG